UCUCUGAGCUUGACUUUCUUUUCUUUCGGUAAUGACAGACUCUGAAAGAUUCUUCACCACAGUGUGCAGCACAGCAUGGGGGCCGGUCCAGGGAGUCGACUCACCACACCAGGCCCCCACCCACGCCCACGAGGCUGGUCCUGGCUUGGACUCCAGAGGUGACUGUGCCCAUUAAGCCCCCUCCUAGACCCGACAACCAACUGAAAAGUUCUCUGUGUUCCUCCUCCUGGGUCCACGGCUGCUGCUCUUCCACCCAUGGUGCUUGGGGUUUUCUGCCUGGCCAAAGGAGGUGGCCCUCAUCCUGUUUGCCCUUGAAGAAAGAGGACCUAGGAACAUGGCUUCCAAAACAGUGCUUGAGCUCUGGGGCCAGCCCUGAGGCCGCUGCGUGCCUUUCUGACCCGGCAACGGGUGAGACCCCCUUGCCACUCACCACCCAAUGUCUGAAAUUAGCAGCAGCCUAAUCUCUCCCUGCCAUAUCACUCAGUGGGGUAAUUGUGCAGGAAAAAAAAUGUAUUAAAAUGCAAAACACUCAGUUGUACUUCUUUAUGUUAAAUCCCUUCUUCGCUCUAUCUCCCUUUUAAUUUUACAAGGUUUUUUUCCUCUCUCCCCCUUUUAUAAAGAGGAGAGCUGGGUAUGCAGGGAAUCAUUUCAACUCUCCUAUAAAUCUCCAAAAUGAAUACUUAAAUUCGAGGAAAAAAAAUACAUUCUUACACCUUUAAUUUCCCUGCUAUGAAGUAUAAUGAAAAAGCCUGAUUAUUUUUAAUUCUUCCCUUUAAUAAUUCAGCGGCGGAGUGAUUUAAGACUAGGAUUCAUAAUUACCUUUCCGCUUUCUUGGCAAAUGGAGUUUUAAUAGAAAUGAGAGCUCUGGCGACUGAAAUGGAUUUCAACAGGUCGCUGGGGGGGGGGUCAAGCCUGACACCAAUUGGUAGAGGAGUGUUCUAGGUCCCCCAGGAUGUGAGGUCUGGAUUAGAUACCUGGGCCCCGGUGGGGGACAGAGGGGGAAGAACAUUGCCUGCACUUGCUGGGACCAAUUGUCAAAAUAGAAACAGAAGGUCACAAUGUGGUGUCGAAUGACCCAUGUGUCCUGCAAGGUAGAAACUGGUGAGAACAACAGGAGGAAAGUGUUCUGAUUAGCAAUAAUGAGCUAACAACUGUGGUGUUAGUGAUAGGAGUCACUGUUAAUUGAGUAAAU
rnacentral:lncRNA from 1 species